UCUGACCGUUGAAAGGUAGCGUAAUCACUUGUUGUUUAAAUGGGGGACUCGUAUCAAUGGCAUCACGAGGGCCACACUGUCUCCCCUCUCUAAUCAGUGAAACUGAUCUCCCCGUGAAGAAGCGGGGAUAAAACUAUAAGACGAGAAGACCCCAUGGAGCUUUAAACUGAACAGCAACUCAGUCACAUAAUCCAUUAUAAUCCACAGAGCUAUGCAUGUAAGUUUUAGGUUGGGGUGACCGCGGAGUAAAAAACAACSUCCACGACGAAAAGAACUAGAUCUUUACCCAAGAGCCACCACUCUAAGAAUUAGCACACUAACGAACAAUGACCCGACAAUCGAUCAACGGACCAAGUUACCCUGGGGAUAACAGCGCAAUCUACUUCAAGAGCUCAUAUCGACAAGUAGGCUUACGACCUCGAUGUUGGAUCAGGAUAUCCCAGUGGUGCAGCCGCUACUAACGGUUCGUUUGUUCAACGAUUAAUAAUCUUACGUGAUCUGAGUUCAGUAACCGGAAGACAGA
rnacentral:rRNA from 1 species